UACAGAGGUGGCAAGCGUUGUUCGGAAUUAUUGGGCGUAAAGAGCUCGUAGGCGGCCUGUCGCGUCGGAUGUGAAAGCCCGGGGCUUAACCCCGGGUCUGCAUUCGAUACGGGCAGGCUAGAGUGUGGUAGGGGAGAUCGGAAUUCCUGGUGUAGCGGUGAAAUGCGCAGAUAUCAGGAGGAACACCAAUGGCGAAGGCAGCUCGCUGGAACGGUACUGACGCUGAGGCGCGAAAGCGUGGGGAGCGAACAGG
rnacentral:rRNA from 1 species